GCCCGCCCCCCGCGCACAGACGCAGGGAAGAAGGGGCGGGGCUACGCUAGCGUCCGCGCCAUCAGGCAGAAGGGUGGCGGAAGGGUUCUGUUCUCUGUGUAUGGUUUUCCCAGCCAAGCGGUUGUGCUUGGUGCCAUCCAUGGAGGGCGUGCGCUGGGCCUUUUCCUGCGGCACUUGGCUGCCGAGCCGAGCCGAAUGGCUGCUGGCAGUGCGAUCGAUCCAGCCCGAGGAGAAGGAGCGCAUUGGCCAGUUCGUCUUUGCCCGGGACGCUAAGGCAGCCAUGGCUGGUCGUCUGAUGAUAAGGAAAUUAGUUGCAGAGAAAUUGAAUAUCCCUUGGAAUAAUAUCCGUUUGCAAAGAACUGCAAAAGGAAAACCAGUUCUUGCAAAGGACUCAUUGAAUCCUUACCCCAAUUUCAACUUUAACAUCUCUCAUCAAGGGGACUUUGCGGUGCUUGCUGCUGAACCUGAACUACAAGUUGGAAUUGAUAUAAUGAAGACUAGUUUUCCAGGUCGUGGUUCAAUCCCAGAGUUCUUUCAUAUUAUGAAAAGAAAGUUUACCAACAAAGAAUGGGAAACAAUCAGAAGCUUUAAGGAUGAAUGGACUCAGCUGGAUAUGUUUUAUAGGAAUUGGGCACUGAAAGAAAGCUUCAUAAAAGCCAUUGGUGUUGGACUAGGAUUUGAAUUGCAACGGCUUGAAUUUGAUAUAUCUCCAUUAAACUUGGAUAUAGGCCAAGUGUAUAGAGAAACACGAUUGUUCUUGGAUGGAGAGGAAGAAAAAGAAUGGAUAUUUGAGGAAAGCAAAAUAGAUGAGCACCAUUUUGUUGCAGUAGCUCUUAGGAAACCCGAUGGAUCUAGACAUCAGGAGGUUCCAUCUCAAGAUGAUUCUAAACCAUCCCAGAGGAAAUUUACUAUUCUCACCUUUAAUGAUUUAAUAGCAUCUGCUGUUCCCAUGACACCUGAAGAUCCUUCCUUUUGGGACUGCUUUUGCUUCACAGAAGAAAUUCUAAUACGAAAUGGAGGAGACUGUUGAAAAUGAAGAAGCUAAGGUGGGCUUGGGAGAAUGGAAUUGAGGUGGAGCCCACUGCCUGCCAUAAGAAAGUAUUUGGUGCCACCAGUUGCUGAGUCCUGUGCUAGGCUGAACCACAAGCGCUACUUCAUGUUUGCUGGGUCCAAAACCGUUCCUUGCAUUAUGCCAUACUGCGUAGUGUAUGGCUCUAUUUAUGUAAGUUUUCUACAUAGGAAUUCUCAUGUAUUGAUUUAAAAAAUGGAUCCAUGUGUAUAUCCCUUGCUAUUCACACUCAGAAAUUGAAUAGAUUUGGAUAAAAUUUCAGUUAAAUUUUUCUCUGUCAGAAUUCUUACCUACCUACUCAGUAUCUGAAUCUCAGAAACCAAUUAGGUUUAAGUAACUAAACACCCCCUCACUAUUUGAAUUAUUCACAUCUUCACUUAACCAAAUAGGUUUAUAUAUACACGUGUGCACAUACAUCUUUUAUGAAAAAUAUUCCUGAAAACAAUUCCAAGUAUUAGUACUCUUAACAAAUUGAAGAGGAUAUGAAGAGAGCUAAUGAUGGAUUUCAUUUUUAUGGAGAAAAUAAAUAUGCCAUCAUAGUAUUUGUAAAUUGGGAAUUAGCAAAGAUCUUUGAAUAUAUCUCCAAGUUUAUAAGUUAACAUCAGUGACUGCUUUAAAUAUCUUAUGGUAUUUAGAAUAAUUAUCUUCCAUCCUAAGUGCUUCACAUGUAUCAGGCUACUUAAUCCUCAUAACCUUAUGGAGUAGGUGCCAUUAUACCCAUUUUACUGAUGGGGAAAAUAAGGUACUGAGAUAUUGAGCAACUUAACUAAAGAUUAUAUAUCCAUUGAAUAGUGGAGCUGGUUAUAUAAACUUAGAGACCUAGAUCCAGAGCCUGAACUCUACCACUAUAUUAAGUAGUGUACUGAACACAUACUAAGUUGUGUGCUGAUAAAUGUUUAAUAACCAGCAAUCCUGGAACAGGGAUGGGUGCCUUUUACAUGUAGCUUGUGCUGAUUCCAUGAAACAAUGCCACGUAUAUUAAUAGUAUUUGGCUAUGCACCCAUAAUUAAUACAUAGUGUUUUGUGCUUGUACUUUAUAUUAAGAUUGAAACAUUAGGAUGGAAUCUCUUUGGGUGUUGCUUAGAAGUAGAAAGAGUGUCAGAAUAAUUGAGCUCACUUAAGCCCAAGCUUCUCAAAGGAUAGUAUACAUACUUAGGGUUAUGCAAUGGUGUGUUAGCAGCUACUCAUCACAAGAUAGCAAUUGAGCACCUAGAAGCAUCCAUUUUACCUAAAUUUUUAGAAAGAACUUUUUAUAAUAAAAGCAAUACAGGUAUAGUAAGAAUGCAAACUUGCCUGCAUUUUAAAUAAAAAGGUGAGGGUCUUCAAAAACAUUUUCCUGCCCAGAAGUGUGUAGUCACUGUUCUUUGCUUUUAGGAUCAUUUUUCAAUGAAGAAAUUGGAAAGGAACCAACAUUAAAGGGAAGAAAAGUAACAUUUAGUACUUAAACAGUAGGGCCCAGUGCUUGGUGGAAUGCACCACUUUUCAGGUCACCUUCAGGAGCAUGUCAGCGUGUAAGGUGUAAAGCUACCCUUCUUCUGGCAUAGAACCGUCAGCAGUAGGCAAGCAGAAGCCCAAAACUUUGGUGGUCCUAAUGGUUCUGUGACUGUUUUUUGUUGAUAUUUAGCAUCCUUUAAACCCUUUUCUAAUGCUUUCCUGGUGGUGUAUGAGUGAGAAACCUGCUGAACUGGUUCUCUUCUCUGAGUCCACAUUCACUAGGUGAUAGAAAUUUUUUAGCUCCAUUAUAAUCUUAUAGGACCACCUAUGCAGUGCCUAGUUGACUAAAACCUCUUUAUGCAAUGCAUGACUAUGUGUCUAUCUCUGCAUUUAUUUGUGUAGUGUCUCUAUCUUCCUUAAGUUUCAGACAUCAUGUUCACACUUGACAUAUGUCCUUACUUUGAACAUCACAGCUGUCCUACAUGGUAAGUAUGGUUUCUCCUAUUUUAAGAAUGUACAAUCUGAGGCCCAAAGAAAUCAGGUAAUUUUUCUGAGGUCACAGUACUACUAAAUGGUGUCAUUCUGAAUUCAAUUUAGUUUCCAUGAACUCGAAAGCUCAUUCUUUCUUCUGUAUCACACUGUCAUCAAGAUGAAUAGUGGAAAACCAUGCUUCUGCCUUAUAUGUUGUAAGCAAGGCUGCCCUUGAAGCAGGUCUCAUGUUUCAGAAAAUGGUAUUAAGUUUAGAAUUUGAAUAUUAUUCCCAAAGGGUGAGUUUGAAUCUCAUAUCUACCUACCUAUAUGUCUUACUGCUGCAAUUUCUAUUGUCUUUGAUGAUCAUGUAAAUUUAUUUCUCAUUUCACACAAGUUAGCACCUAAGAAUAUUAAAAGUUUGUUUCCUUAUUUAAAGUGCCAGAAUUAUACAGUGAAUUCAUAAUGCAAAGCAAUGGCUGUGAUUUUAUUCUAAAAUGUAAAAGAAAAAGUCAUUUGUUGAAAGAGUUUAAGAUACGUUCUUGAUGACAUGCUGGAGCUUUACUGGUCAAAACCAUAGUAGGCUUUGAGAGCCAGUUAUUUAUAGUUAGGUGAAAAUCAUUAUCCUUUAGAGGGUAGCUGAUUAUUUAAAAUGUUAAUAGAAAUUACAUUUUUUCUUCAUAGAGUUAAUAUUUUAGAAUGAGCUUCACUUUAAAAUCUAUAUCAUAUUUUCAUUAAAAAACUUAAUUCCACUGGAUACCAGUUGUAAAAUCAUUAACUUGACAGGAAAAUAGCUGUCAAUACUUAUCAUUGUGAUACAUAAACAUAAAUAGUAUAGGUCACAGUGUAACUACUUAUAACUGUUGGACUCUGGUUUGCAUUUGGCAUUUCUAAACCACUACUCUGAGUUUGUGGAUGAUGAUCAAGUUAUCAUUUAAUAGUAGUUUUUAAAUUGGUGUCAAAAGGUGGAAGUGCAGAGAUGGUGUAUUCAUUGAUUCUUAUACUGUGUAUAAGGAAACUGUUUAUAGAUUUUCUAUUUCUGUGGAUAUAUAGCUCCUAGAAAUAAGAAACUAGACCGUUUUAAUUUUUUUCAAAGUAAAUGCACACCAUGAAUAGACUUAGAUAAUAAUCAACACAUUUGAAAUCUGAUAUUCAUUUAGAGAUUUAAAAUAGGUCUAAAAUAGAUCUGUAGAAAAUGAAACAUUUGCAAUAAAUGGUAAUUAAAGCAAAGAAAUAGUGUGAAUCUCCAAGUAUAAGUUUCUGUUGUUUCACCAGGCACCCCUCAUAUAUAAAUGAGUACAGUUGACCAUUAAGUUGAGUAAAAGAAUUAAUCUUUUAGUAACUUAUUAGAGAUAAUAAUCUAGUGAAAUUUGAUUUGGAUCAUUAUUGGAGAUCUGUUUUCUUUAAUGAGCAAAGAAUUAAUUUGAGCCAGGCACAGUGGUGGAUGCAUAGUCCUGCUACUUGGGUGACUGAGGCAGGAGGAUGGAUUGAGCCCAGGAGUUAGAGACCUGCCUAAGCGACAUAGCAAGACACCCCCAUUUCAAAACAAACAAAUAAAACAAGAAUUGUUUUUGAGUUCUAUUGUUUUUAUUUGGAUAUUCAGGGUAAGUCUAAAUGACCUUAAACAAAAUGAAUUAAAAUCAUUUUAGAGCCAACCUAGACUAGAAAUGCCUGAUUCUGGAAUCUUAAUAAAAGUAACCUGGACAUUUAUUUUCAUUAAGAAA